rnacentral:rRNA from 1 species
UACGAAGGGGGCUAGCGUUACUCGGAUUGACUGGGCGUAAAGGGCGCGUAGGCGGUUUGUACAGUCAGACGUGAAAUCCUGGGCUCAACCUGGGGGCUGCGUUUGAUACGUGCGGACUUGAGUUCGGAAGAGGGUCGUGGAAUUCCCAGUGUAGAGGUGAAAUUCGUAGAUAUUGGGAAGAACACCGGUGGCGAAGGCGGCGACCUGGUCCGAUACUGACGCUGAGGCGCGAAAGCGUGGGGGAGCAAACAGG